CGGUGAUAAGGGAUUCAAUAGUCUGGUGAACAGAGACAGCCAGUUGAGUGAGCCAGGGAAUGUUGAUAAGUGUUGUGAAGUCUUUAAUAGCCAAGUUGCCCGGUAUCAUCUACGUCCUGCGUCCGUUCUCUGAAGCUGCAAAGACCUCUGGAUGUAUUCCACAACUGCCUGUAGCAACAAUGCAUCUCCUCUUAAAGAGGUCCAGGGACUGCAUCUACAAACUGUUAUUCUGGUAAUCAAGAACAAAUAAAGCUGCUUCACCCACCAGAGAGCCCAGCUGACAUGAAACACCUUGCCAACUCCACCAGAGGGAGCAUUAAUUAUUG